UUUGCUAUUUCUAAAAACGUUUGGCUGGUGUGCCGUCACCCAUCUGAGCAGUCGGCUUUGAAUGCCCUCACUGGCUUGUGCAAUUAUGUUGACUGUGAUUUGGGUUCUGACCCUCCACAGGAUGUGCGCUGAUGUCCAGGAUGUCCAGCCUCAGAGCGCCCCACUUCUUCAUCAGGUGGAUCUCUUCUCCCAGGAGGCGACAGCGGCUUACCACCAGACCCACAUCAUGCAGCAGCUGGAGAGCGAGAAUCAGAUAUUAUACAGCCAAAACGGAACCUCUGUGGACAUGCAAUGCAAUACAAACCCCUUUUCUGGACUUCACGUCAUGUGGAUCAUCCCUUUUAACCAAGCCUCACACUUACCAUGGGAAUGUAUCGACUGGUGGGGUACUUCUUGAACCAAGUGGUUUCACUGCCUAUGUACUGGCAUAGCAGAUUGUGUACAAGCCGAGAGUAGCACUGUGACUUUUCAUCUGUAAGAAAGAAAAGGUGAGUUUGCAAGGCAAUAGUCCUGUGUGUGGCGAGAACCAAGAAAAUAUUCUACAUUAGUGUCCGAGCUUAAUUUCUCCCACCAUCCAUUUGGUGUUGAAAUGUGAUGUCCAUGAUGUUACGCUCAGUCUGUUCACAGACCUCUCCUAAAUAAAAGAGCAAAGCAUUAGAAAAACA